ACAGAAAACAAAGAAAAAGAACAAGCAAGCACAAAGGUUUGGAAUCAGCUUCAGCAGUCAACAACAGUCAAAAAUGAGAAAAAUACAAACGGUGCGAUCCGGAACGCCGGGCAACAAUCUUCGUCGUCCGCAGAGAAAUUUCGGAGCUCCAAUUUCUAUCAGAACAGCGACGAAGAAAAUGCAAUCUGGCCAAGAGUUCUUAUUUGGCAGCUAAUGGUCCAAACGUUUGUAGGGAACCUCACGCCUGAUGAAGAACCUGACGUCGACGCUAAUAGAAGCUUGUGGUGCUGAUUGAUUGAUCCAGGCUGGCUUUUACGUUGUUUUUUAUUGCCUAUAUUCAUACACGGUUAGACGAGACGGAACAAACUUCGGAUGAUGUGCAGAUGAGGAUUGCCCAGGUGUUGGGCCCCUUUGUGCUAAUUCUAGAAAGCAGUUCAAAUACAGCAAGUUUCUUCUGGCAAUCGAGAUUAUUCAAUAUUUAUCUUUCCGGUACCAAUUCCACAUGGCAAACACAAUCAUAGACA